UUAAGCGACUAAGCGUACACGGUGGAUGCCCUGGCAGUCAGAGGCGAUGAAGGGCGUGCUAAUCUGCGAUAAGCGCCGGUAAGGUGAUAUGAACCGUUAUAACCGGCGAUACCCGAAUGGGGAAACCCAGUGUGACUCGUCACACUAUCAUUAACUGAAUCCAUAGGUUAAUGAGGCGAACCGGGGGAACUGAAACAUCUAAGUACCCCGAGGAAAAGAAAUCAACCGAGAUUCCCCCAGUAGCGGCGAGCGAACGGGGAGGAGCCCAGAGCCUGAAUCAGCAUGUGUGUUAGUGGAAGCGUCUGGAAAGGCGCGCGAUACAGGGUGACAGCCCCGUACACAAAAGCGCAUGUGCUGUGAGCUCGAUGAGUAGGGCGGGACACGUGGUAUCCUGUCUGAAUAUGGGGGGACCAUCCUCCAAGGCUAAAUACUCCUGACUGACCGAUAGUGAACCAGUACCGUGAGGGAAAGGCGAAAAGAACCCCGGCGAGGGGAGUGAAAAAGAACCUGAAACCGUGUACGUACAAGCAGUGGGAGCCCCACCACUAAGCCAGUGGUGAACUCCACAUACGCAUCCUUUGCUGAGGAUACGGUUAACGGAGCGAAAGCGACGUUCAACCGCAAAAGAAGCAGAGGGGGCUUAGUGGUGGGGUGACUGCGUACCUUUUGUAUAAUGGGUCAGCGACUUAUAUUCUGUAGCAAGGUUAACCGUAUAGGGGAGCCGCAGGGAAACCGAGUCUUAACCGGGCGUUAAGUUGCAGGGUAUAGACCCGAAACCCGGUGAUCUAGCCAUGGGCAGGUUGAAGGUUGGGUAACACUAACUGGAGGACCGAACCGACUAAUGUUGAAAAAUUAGCGGAUGACCUGUGGCUGGGGGUGAAAGGCCAAUCAAACCGGGAGAUAGCUGGUUCUCCCCGAAAGCUAUUUAGGUAGCGCCUCGUGAAUUCAUCUCCGGGGGUAGAGCACUGUUUCGGCUAGGGGGCCAUCCCGGCUUACCAACCCGAUGCAAACUGCGAAUACCGGAGAAUGUUAUCACGGGAGACACACGGCGGGUGCUAACGUCCGUCGUGAAGAGGGAAACAACCCAGACCGCCAGCUAAGGUCCCAAAGUCAUGGUUAAGUGGGAAACGAUGUGGGAAGGCCCAGACAGCCAGGAUGUUGGCUUAGAAGCAGCCAUCAUUUAAAGAAAGCGUAAUAGCUCACUGGUCGAGUCGGCCUGCGCGGAAGAUGUAACGGGGCUAAACCAUGCACCGAAGCUGCGGCAGCGACGCUGAUGCGUUGUUGGGUAGGGGAGCGUUCUGUAAGCCUGCGAAGGUGGCCUGUGAGGGUUGCUGGAGGUAUCAGAAGUGCGAAUGCUGACAUAAGUAACGAUAAAGCGGGUGAAAAGCCCGCUCGCCGGAAGACCAAGGGUUCCUGUCCAACGUUAAUCGGGGCAGGGUGAGUCGACCCCUAAGGCGAGGCCGAAAGGCGUAGUCGAUGGGAAACGGGUUAAUAUUCCCGUACUUGGUGUUACUGCGAAGGGGGGACGGAGAAGGCUAUGUUGGCCGGGCGACGGUUGUCCCGGUUUAAGCGUGUAGGUGUGUGUUCCAGGUAAAUCCGGUUCACUUUAACACUGAGGCGUGACGACGAGGCACUACGGUGCUGAAGCAACAAAUGCCCUGCUUCCAGGAAAAGCCUCUAAGCAUCAGGUAACAUCAAAUCGUACCCCAAACCGACACAGGUGGUCAGGUAGAGAAUACCAAGGCGCUUGAGAGAACUCGGGUGAAGGAACUAGGCAAAAUGGUGCCGUAACUUCGGGAGAAGGCACGCUGACACGUAGGUGAAGUGAUUUACUCAUGGAGCUGAAGUCAGUCGAAGAUACCAGCUGGCUGCAACUGUUUAUUAAAAACACAGCACUGUGCAAACACGAAAGUGGACGUAUACGGUGUGACGCCUGCCCGGUGCCGGAAGGUUAAUUGAUGGGGUCAGCGCAAGCGAAGCUCCUGAUCGAAGCCCCGGUAAACGGCGGCCGUAACUAUAACGGUCCUAAGGUAGCGAAAUUCCUUGUCGGGUAAGUUCCGACCUGCACGAAUGGCGUAAUGAUGGCCAGGCUGUCUCCACCCGAGACUCAGUGAAAUUGAACUCGCUGUGAAGAUGCAGUGUACCCGCGGCAAGACGGAAAGACCCCGUGAACCUUUACUAUAGCUUGACACUGAACAUUGAGCCUUGAUGUGUAGGAUAGGUGGGAGGCUUUGAAGCGUGGACGCCAGUCUGCGUGGAGCCGACCUUGAAAUACCACCCUUUAAUGUUUGAUGUUCUAACGUGGACCCGUAAUCCGGGUUGCGGACAGUGUCUGGUGGGUAGUUUGACUGGGGCGGUCUCCUCCUAAAGAGUAACGGAGGAGCACGAAGGUUGGCUAAUCCUGGUCGGACAUCAGGAGGUUAGUGCAAUGGCAUAAGCCAGCUUGACUGCGAGCGUGACGGCGCGAGCAGGUGCGAAAGCAGGUCAUAGUGAUCCGGUGGUUCUGAAUGGAAGGGCCAUCGCUCAACGGAUAAAAGGUACUCCGGGGAUAACAGGCUGAUACCGCCCAAGAGUUCAUAUCGACGGCGGUGUUUGGCACCUCGAUGUCGGCUCAUCACAUCCUGGGGCUGAAGUAGGUCCCAAGGGUAUGGCUGUUCGCCAUUUAAAGUGGUACGCGAGCUGGGUUUAGAACGUCGUGAGACAGUUCGGUCCCUAUCUGCCGUGGGCGCUGGAGAACUGAGGGGGGCUGCUCCUAGUACGAGAGGACCGGAGUGGACGCAUCACUGGUGUUCGGGUUGUCAUGCCAAUGGCACUGCCCGGUAGCUAAAUGCGGAAGAGAUAAGUGCUGAAAGCAUCUAAGCACGAAACUUGCCCCGAGAUGAGUUCUCCCUGAGACUUUAGGUCUCCUGAAGGAACGUUGAAGACGACGACGUUGAUAGGCCGGGUGUGUAAGCGCAGCGAUGCGUUGAGCUAACCGGUACUAAUGAACCGUGAGGCUUAACCUU
rnacentral:rRNA from 1 species